rnacentral:rRNA from 1 species
UACGUAGGGAGCAAGCGUUGUCCGGAAUCAUUGGGCGGAAAGCGCGCGUAGGCGGCCCUGUAAGUCCGCUGUGAAAGUCAAAGGCUCAACCUUUGAAAGCCGGUGGAUACUGCAGGGCUAGAGUCCGGAAGAGGCGAGUGGAAUUCCUGGUGUAGCGGUGGAAUGCGCAGAUAUCAGGAGGAACACCGAUGGCGAAGGCAGCUCGCUGGGACGGUACUGACGCUGAGGCGCGAAAGCGUGGGGAGCGAACAGG